GGGUAUAGCUCAGUGGUAGAGCACUUGUUUAGCAUGUAUGAGACCCUGGGUUCCAUUCCUAGCACCACA
rnacentral:tRNA from 1 species